rnacentral:tRNA from 2 species
GGGCGGUUAGCUCAGCGGGAGAGCACUACCUUGACACGGUAGGGGUCACAAGUUCAAUCCUUGUACCGCCCACCA